GGGGGCUAGCGUUGUUCGGAAUUACUGGGCGUAAAGCGCACGUAGGCGGACAUUUAAGUCAGGGGUGAAAUCCCAGUGCUCAACUCUGGAACUGCCUUUGAUACUGGGUGUCUUGAGUAUGGAAGAGGUGAGUGGAAUUCCGAGUGUAGAGGUGAAAUUCGUAGAUAUUCGGAGGAACACCAGUGGCGAAGGCGGCUCACUGGUCCAUUACUGACGCUGAGGUGCGAAAGCGUGGGGAGCAAACAGG
rnacentral:rRNA from 1 species